AUAAAAUAUUACAAAAAAUAGUCAUGGGGUUUGUUUAGCUCAAAAAGGCAUCAAGAUGCGGUUUUUCACGUGAAGCUUCACAAAAAUGAACCAACUCCAAUCAAAUCAAACUCACGCCUCAAGGGUGGUGUGUAGGAUCGACAUUUUCAUCUUGCGAGCUGUGGUGUUCAUUACUCUGACUGUGAGGCACUUCUGUGGCAAGGGUAAAGAGCCAGUUUGAUUGCAUUGCAUCCACUGAUGGUUUAUGUGCUAUGUGAUUUUAGGAUUACUUCAUGUUUUUAUGAACAUUUCAAACUCAUGUUUUAAAAUAAAUGACCUUAUGAAUUUUGUGGAAUGGUUUUUAUGAUUUUAAAAAUAAAAAAUUUUCCUAGUAUAUUUGGGGUGUUUCAAAG